ensembl:lncRNA
CCUCUUCGCUGAAUACAGCUCACGGUAAGUACUGGUUCACACAGUUCGUUCUCUGGGUGCUCACUCUCUUUCUCUUUCUCCACAGGCAACGGCUGGGACACACAGGCACAGUUAGUUCAGCUUGGUUUUGCUCUCACCUCUUCGCUGAUUACAGCUCACAGUAUCAACUUGGGCACAAUAGCACAGUUAGUUUGCUUUGAAUGGCUCUCACCUCUGGGCUGGACACAGCGUACUGUAAGUACAGGGUUUCCUCGGUCUCUCCUCGUGUUAUUCACUCUCUCUCCUUUUCUCUCCACAGGCAUCAACUUGGGCACACUAGCACAGUUAGUUUGCUUUGAAUGGCUCUCACCUCUGGGCUGAACACAGCGUACUGUAAGUACAGGUUUCCUCUGUUUCUCCUUGUGUUACUCACUCUCUCUUUCCUUUUCUCUCCACAGGUAUCAACUUGGGCACAAUAGCACAGUUAGUUUGCUUUGAAUGGCUCUCACCUCUGGGCUGGACACAGCGUACUGUAAGUACAGGGUUCGCUCUGUUUCUC